rnacentral:rRNA from 1 species
UACGGGGGAGCAAGCGUUGUUCGGAUUUACUGGGCGUAAAGGGCGCGUAGGCGGCGCAACAAGUCACUUGUGAAAUCUCCGGGCUUAACCCGGAGCGGUCAAGUGAUACUGUCGUGCUAGAGUGCGGAAGGGGCUACUGGAAUUCUCGGUGUAGCGGUGAAAUGCGUAGAUAUCGGAGAGGAACACCUGCGGCGAAGGCGGGUAGCUGGGCCGACACUGACGCUGAUGCGCGAAAGCGUGGGGAGCGAACGGG